UGCUGAUGAUGUGACUCCCUAACCUGCCUUU
rnacentral:piRNA from 1 species